CCGAACACAUGAACAAGAGCACAGAAAAACAAACAAAUGGAUGGGAAAACUAUGAGUUGUUUUUUCAUUUUGCUUUUGCUUCUAGGAAAUUACACUCAAACUGAUGCUUACCUUUUCAUAGAGAACUGCCAAAGCCAUCUUAUUGGAGACUUGACAUGCACGAAGUGGUCAUGCUGGGGGGACUGUAUAAAAUAUUAUUUUGGAAAGAAAAUUAAGCAAUAUUAUUGCGUACGCAAGUCCAUGGCUCGCUAUUGCGUAUGUGUCAUAUGUGACUAGAAAUACAAUAUGGUUAUCGAUGCAUAUACCAUCAAGUGUCUGGAAUAAAAUGUAUAUAAGUAAUAAAGUUCAUAAUAUAUGUU